AAUAGAUACCCUGGUAGUCCACGCCGUAAACGAUGUCGACUUGGAGGUUGUUCCCUUGAGGAGUGGCUUCCGGAGCUAACGCGUUAAGUCGACCGCCUGGGGAGUACGGCCGCAAGGUUAAAACUCAAAUGAAUUGACGGGGGCCCGCACAAGCGGUGGAGCAUGUGGUUUAAUUCGAUGCAACGCGAAGAACCUUACCUACUCUUGACAUCCACGGAACUUUUCAGAGAUGAAUUGGUGCCUUCGGGAACCGUGAGACAGGUGCUGCAUGGCUGUCGUCAGCUCGUGUUGUGAAAUGUUGGGUUAAGUCCCGCAACGAGCGCAACCCUUAUCCUUUGUUGCCAGCGGUUAGGCCGGGAACUCAAAGGAGACUGCCAGUGAUAAACUGGGGGAAGGUGGGGAUGACGUCAAGUCAUCAUGGCCCUUACGAGUAGGGCUACACACGUGCUACAAUGGCGCAUACAAAGAGAAGCGACCUCGCGAGAGCAAGCGGACCUCAUAAAGUGCGUCGUAGUCCGGAUUGGAGUCUGCAACUCGACU
rnacentral:rRNA from 1 species